rnacentral:tRNA from 1 species
UCCGGGGUAGCUCAGUUGGCAGAGCGUUUGACUGUUAAUCAAAAUGUCGCGAGUUCGAGCCUCGCCCCCGGAG